CAGGAUGAACGCUGGCGGCGUGCUUAACACAUGCAAGUCGAACGAAGCACCUCUCCCGUGGAAGAUGACUAGCUUGCUAAGAUUCGGACACAUUGAGGUGACUAGUGGCGGACGGGUGAGUAACGCGUGGGUAACCUGCCGUAUACAGGGGGACAACAGUUAGAAAUGACUGCUAAUACCGCAUAAGCGCACAGUACCGCAUGGUACAGUGUGAAAAACUCCGGUGGUAUACGAUGGACCCGCGUCUGAUUAGCUAGUUGGUGAGGUAACGGCCCACCAAGGCGACGAUCAGUAGCCGACUUGAGAGAGUGAUCGGCCACAUUGGGACUGAGACACGGCCCAAACUCCUACGGGAGGCAGCAGUGGGGAAUAUUGCACAAUGGGGGAAACCCUGAUGCAAGCGACGCCGCGUGAGUGAUGAAGUAUUUCGGUACGUAAAGCUCUAUCAGCAGGGAAGAUAAUGACGGUACCUGACUAAGAAGCCCCGGCUAACUACGUGCCAGCAGCGGC
rnacentral:rRNA from 1 species